GGAGUUUGGAGAUCGAGGACAGAACAACCUUAUCCUAUCGCUGAAGUUGAAGGAGAUUACUGCUCCUAACCUCCCAACUGCCCUCUGCUUCCUCGGGGAAAAGUAUAACAACUUGGUGGAGAGGUACAAGCAGCAGGUGGCUGAGUGUGCUGGUGAGUGUGCACCUAGAUAUGAUGGCCUGAAUGUUUAGUAUUUUCAUGUUGGCGAAGAGAGGGUCCUUUUUGUUGGACAACUUACUGCAGAAUGGUUUUCCAAAUAGUUCGUUUAGGCCAAGAAUUCCACAUAGGGUGAAGGUCAUAAGCAGCACAUGUUACUGAAUCAAAAAAGUUGCUCAGCAGACGUGAUUUUCAGUGUCAAAUGUUAUUCACAAAAUGCUUAAUUAUAUUCAGAAGAGUUGCAAGCACAGUUUUCCCUUA